GGGUUUUGGUCUUGCAUCAGGCUGUAAACUCCUUGGUUGCAGCGACCACAUUUGUCUUGUUCACCAUGUGACUAGCGUGGAAGAGGAGUUCAGGAAAUGUUUGUUGACUAAAAGACAUUGGGACUUUAUCACAUCAACUUUCAAUUCCUGCAACAACUGGAAGCUUGGAUCCUAUGAGUCCAUGAUGAGAGACGGCACUUGGCUGAAUACUUAAGUUCUUCUCAAGAUAAGUCAGCAUUUCUCAUCACUAUUUUAUGAUACAGUCGUACCUUGGUAGCCUUAGGGGAUUGGUUCCAGGACCCACAGCAGAUACAAAAUCUGAUGAUGCUCAAGUUCCAUAGUCAGCUCUCUGUAUCCAGUGGUUCCACAUCUGCAGCUUCACCAACCUCUGAUGGUAAACAUAGCACGGGAUUCACAGUUGGUUGAAUCUGUGGAUGCAGAACCCAUGUAAUACCUAAUAUGAUUUGAGAUGCCCCUAUUGAACAAUAAAAAAUUGAUGUCCUUUGUUUCUGGUUCCUGGGAGGGAGAAAGACCCUAAAUCCUUGGCAUUUCCUGAGUAAUAGGAGUAUCUUUGUUAUUCGUGAGACCCUUGGAUCAUACCUGAGUUUAUGCUAAUGAAAUGACUUUGGAUGAAAGGCUGGUCACCAGAAAGAUACCCAUGUGAUUAAAGGGUUGGGGCUUUAAGCCAGACCAACCUUCAGGGAGGUAAGGGGGCCUGAAUUGAAUUCAAUCGUGUGGCCAAUGAUUCAAUCAGUCAUGUCUACAUGUGAAAACACUGGACACUGAUUUUGAGGGAGCUUCCUGGCUGGUGAAUGAGACCAAUACUGGGAACGUGAUGUCCCCUGAUCCCACAGGGAGAGCACAUGGCAGCUCUGUGUUUGGGACCCUCCCAAACUUUGCCCUACAUGUCUUUUCAUUUGUCUGGUCCUCCUAAUUUGUAUCCUUUACUAUAAUUGAAAGUAUGGCAUUUUCCUGAAUUCUGUGAGUUGUUCUAGCAAGUUAUCAAAUCUGAGGAGGUGUCAUGGGAACACCUCAGAUUUGUAGCCAUUUGGAGCAAGUGGCCUAGGGACCCCCAAACUUGUGCCUGGCAUGUGAAGUAAGGGCGUCUUGUUGGGGACUGUGUCGUUAACUUGGGCAUCUGACACUUAACUCUGGGCGACUGUAUCAGAAUCACACUGCGGUAUUCCAGUCCCUAUACAUCUACACUCGUGUCAUUCCCUUGCCAGGGCCUUGCUGGGAUGCUCACGUCUGCAUGAUUUCAUAAAGGUUAGAGGCCAAGGGAGGGCAGAUUUACCCAAAGAAUCAAAUUCCAAUGCCUUCUAAUAUACAUCCCUGAAUUUUUACAAUUUCUUGCUUGUUGAUUAUCUGCCCUAGCUUUUGUUUCUCUGAUUUUACUAGAUUAUCCAGAUUUUGGCAAAUGCUCAUGAUAUAACUGCAUGAGUUUAACCUAUAUACCUUCAGGAUACAUUUCCUGCUGCCUCCAUUUUUCCUCAGAAUGUCCUUAGUUGUGUGUGUUUGCGUGUGUGUGUGAUGGUCAUCAAUCUGAGUUUUCAUCAGAGGUUUGCCAUCUUGAUGUUUCCUUUACACAAGCAAAGCAGUGAAUGGAUUCUACAGAACAAAUCAGUGAGUGACUAUUGUGCAAUACAGAUCCCUGCUACAAGUUCAAAUAUACAUUGCUUAAAUUCUCUGAACUGGAGAGAACAUUUUACUUUCCCACUGUCAUUUUGUGCUGGGACAAACUGCUUCUCUAGACUGUCUUUAACUGAGCUGCAAAGGCUACCCACCCCACCACAGAUUCUCAUUGUGCUGAGGAUUCAUGUAUCACUGGCACUUCCCGUCUCUCACACACGGCAAUACUUCUCAGCAGUGGUCACAGCCUGAGAUAGUUCCUUUCUCACUAGGGCCUCCUUUCUCGCCUCGCAGAUUUUCUUCAGCUGAUUCUCACCAUGGCUUUAGUUGACUGCUGGCUUCUUGCUACCCAGCAGCCAGGGUGGUACAAUGAUGCAAUAAUCAACCACAUUUCCAAUUUUGUUUUAGCUUGUUCAAGAGCAAAGCAAUCAUUACCUCCAGGUCCUGGAGGGGGGCUUAACUACCUUAUUUAAUUUUAUGAGAACGUUUAUGGGAAAAGGGGCCAGAUCUGAUCUAUGUCCUUCUGAGCAGAAUUGAAGGCCACCUACCCUCUGCUACUAUAUAAUUAUCUGCAUUACAUAAAAAAGGAGAAAAACUGUUUAUACCCUGGAAUCUUACUUCAAAGGGGUUCUUCUGGUGGAAAUGUGAUGAAUAAUGUUACUGCCCCAGGAUGACAAAGGAUAGUGCUGACACCGGGUAGCCUUGUGAUGUGUGUCAUAUUUUAGAUUAUAAAUAUAAGUGAUGUCUUUCUCUUUCUGACGUACUUCACUUAGUAUGAACAUCUCUAGGUCCAUUCAUGUUGCUGCAAAUGGCAUUAUUUCAUUCUUUUUCAUGGCCGAGUAGUAUUCCAUUAUAUAUGUACCAUAUCUUCUUUAUCCAUUCAUCUGUCCAUACAUGGAACUUAGAUUGUUUCCUUGUCUUGGGUAUUGUGAAUAGUGCUGUAAUGAACAUAGGGGUGUGUUAUCUUUUUGAAUUAUAAUUUUGUUUAGGUGCAUGCCCAGGAGUGGGAUUGCUUGAUCAUGCAGAAAAAAGAUUAGAAAUUUUUAAAAAUCCAUACACAAUUUAUUAAAAUCAAAGACUACAGAGAGAAGAUAUUCAGUAAGUGAGAAAUAAAGGAUGUGCAUCAAAAAUAGUUGGGUUUUAUUUUUCUGAGCCAGCCCCUCCCUUGUUUCCAUGCCCUUCUUUAUAUUAAAAAAAAAAAUUCAGACUUUGGAGACAUUUCACAAAAAUCCUGCCAAGGAAAAUACCAAGAAUUCAAUGGGCACAGGAGCCCACAAUGCAAUAAAGAGAAAGCCACAAAAUGUUUUGGAUGGCUUUAAAAGUAUGUUACAUUUAUCAUUGUUGAUUAUAAAAUGUGCAUGAAAUAUCACAUUCCUAAUGUUUUCCUCAACCAAAUGGAAUCUGCUCUGUGUUCCAAACUGCUAGACUGUGAGGAAAUUCAACCCUAGUCAUUAGUGGGGCUCCCUCCUCCCUUCAUGAGAUCAUAAAACAUCAGGGGUUUAUUCAGUGCCAGAAAAGCUGAGAGCAAGGCCAGGUCCUUAGUAACCAGUGGUGGCUGUCACAGCUCAGGCUUGCUAUAAUAAAAUACCACAGACCAGGUGGCCUAAACAGCAAACAUUUCUUUCUCACAGUUCUGGAGGCCCAGAAGUCUUAGAACGAGGGGCUAGAAGAUUCAGUGUCUGGUAAGAGUUCUCUUCCUUGUUUCCAGAUGGCCAGCUUCUCUCUGCAUCCUCACAUGACAGAGACAGAGAAGGGAUCUGGUCUUUUCCUCUUCUUGUCAGGGCACUAAUUCUACCACUGGGGUCCCACCUCAUGACCUCACCUAAACCUAACUACCUUCCAAAGACUCCACCCCCAAAUACCAUCACGUUGGGGAUUAGGGCUUUGACAUAUGAAUUUAGGGGUGAUACAAACACUCCAUCCAUAGCAGCAGCCAUGGUUUCCAUUGAUCCCUCUUCUUUCAGAGGUUUCUGUCAAACCCUGGUGUCCUCUGGAUCAGGCACUGCCCCUUAUGGAUGUCCAUAUCACUGACCACAGAGUUCCCCUGGGGUACCAUGUCCUGUGUCCCUAGUGGAGAGAAACCAUGCCCGGCCUCUCUGGGCUUUGUCCAGCCAUCCUUCAGCCUAGGUAUGCCCUGGGAAAAAUCAGAAGCCUGAGUCUCCACUACUCAUUGAGCAGAAGGUACCAAAUUUCCAGAUCCCAGAGAAUCUCAACCUCCGCUAAGCACAUACCCACAACCCACUUCUGUCUCAGCCUAGAUGUUUAUACAUGACCCUAACACCAACACUCACCCACCCUCUCCAUAUCCAAAACAGAAGCUCAGAAAUGAGAACAAAAACUUCAUAACCUUCUCAGUGAGGGAAAUACACAUAGAGCAACAAGAACAAAACAAAAAAUAAUUCCAUAAUAAAUUAUCCUGCCACAAGCCUGACAGCUAAAAGAAUUCUAAUGAAAUGAAGAUUUGGCAAAUACUGUAGCCACACUGGCAAAGUAAGUUAAUGAGAUGGAUUCUUACAGAGCUCAUCAUGGACACAAAGGCUGUGGACUAGGUAAAGAUUCAGCUGUUCCUGUUACCUAUCGCUGCAUAACCACUCCAAACCUAGUGGCUUAAAACCACUCACUGCAUAACUACUUCAAACCUAGUGGCUUAAAGUUAGUGACUUUGUCAGUUCGCAAGUCUACUCCUAUUGAUAUCAACUGGGGUCACUCAGGGCCAUCAUUUGGCAGAUGAGCUAGUCUAAAGAGUCCAGGACGGGAGUUCCUGUUGUGGCUCAGUGGUUAACGAAUCCCACUAGAAACCAUGAGGUUGCAGGUUCGAUUCCUGGCUUUGCUCAGGAGGUUAAGGAUACGGUGUUGCCGUGAGCUGUGGUGUAGGUUGCAGACGCAGCUCAGAUCCUGUGUUGCUGUGGCUCUGGCGUAGGCCGGUGUUUACAGCUCCAAUUAGACUCCUAGCCUGGGAACCUCCAUGUGCCUCGGGAAGCAGCCCUAGAAAAAUGCAAAAAGACAAAAAAAAAAAAAAAAAAGAAAAAGAGUCCAGGACAGUUUCCCUUACACCUCUGUCUCCUUGAUGGGGACAGCUGGGCUCUGCUGGUGGUUGACCCCAGGGCUGGACACGGCUGUUCCAUCAUACAGUCUCGGGGAAUUUGGACUUCCUGCAUGGUGGCUCAGGGCUCCCAGAGAGUGUUCCAAGAGAUAAAAAGUAGAAGUUGCCUAAGUCUGGAAAGUGGCUCAGCAUCAGCUCUACCAAUUUUUGUUGAUCAAAAAGCCACAGAGGGAGUUCCCGAUGUGGUUCAGCAGAUAAAGAAUCCAACUAGUAUCCAUGAGGAGGUGGGUUUGAUCCCUGGCCUCACUCAGUGGGUCAGGGCUCUGGCGUUGCUGUGAGCUGUGGUGUAGUUUGCAGAUGCAGCUCAGAUCCCUCGUUGCUAUGGCUGUGGUGUAAGCCAACAGUUGCAGCUCCAUUCGACCCCUAGCCUGGGAAUUUCCAUGCCACGUGUACAGCCCUAAAAAAAGAGGAAAAAAAGCCUCAGAAUUCAUCUAAAUUCAAGGGGACCCCACUUCUCAAUGGGACAAACAGCAAAGGAUUGGUGGCUGUCUUUAAUCUCCAGGUGACUCCAGGUGAGUUGAGACCUGCCUUAGCAGUGAUGCCUCUGAAACCGAGGGCUCUGGAGACAAUACCAAGAACACCUCAAACUUGAUCAAGUGUCUGUCUGGUUGAUGUGAGAAACCCACAGGUCUCACUGCUGGAUUGACAGAGGCUAAUGCUCAUACUCAAGAGUCCAGCUAGUAUUUAAUGAAAGAGGCAGCAAACGGAGGGCUCACAAUAACACAAACCCAUCUAAUCCAUUUCAGUUUUUGCGGAAGCUGAAAAAUGCAUGAGAUCAAUUCAGGAUGCCAUUAAACAGGUGAUCGAAAAAAAAUUGAUUCAUAGAAGAUGUCAGGAGCGACAAAGCAGAAAGUCCUUCAUAAUUUACAUUCUGCCCCGCCUCCCCUCCUCUCAAUAAGAAAAGAACAAAGAUCCCAUGAGGAGGGCACCGAGCACAGUGGGCACUGAAAUAAUAGAAGACUGUUUCCACCCCUUACUCCAUUUUGUAGUCUCAUUUUCUUACAGUUAAAUCUUUUGAAAAAUAUACACAGGAGUUCCCGUUGUGGCUCAGUGGUUAACAAAUCCGACAAGGAACCACGAGGUUGCUUGGAUCCUAAGUUGCUGCGGCUCUGGCGCAGGCCAGCGGCUAUAGCUCCAAUCAGACCCCUAGCCUGGGAACCUCCAUAUGCCGCAGGUGCGGCUCUAGAAAAGACAAAAAAAAAA
rnacentral:lncRNA from 1 species